GCUCAUGUGGUUUUAUUAUCGGUUAUUAGUAGCUUCCACAGUUAAGUCAGACUCUAUUGCAUUGACCAUUUGUCAGUAUAUUCACUAUUUAGUUUCAACAUGUUAUGAAUUGGUCAUGGAAUUCAGUUAUCUCCUCAUUCAGUAUAUCAUGUUUAGAAAAAUUUUACUUGCUUUUUUUCUUGUUCUGUUAUGUCAGACUCUAUUGCAUUGACCAUUUGUUAGUAUAUUCACUAUUUAGUUUCAACAUGUUAUAAAUUGGUCAUGGCAUUUAAUUAUCUCCUCAUUCAGUAUAUCAUGUUUAGAAAAUUUUUACUUGCUUUUGUUCUUGUUCUGUUAUGUUUUAGUUCAGCUUUACUCUAUAGUUUAUGCUCAGUACCUUUCAAGUACUAACACAUACGUCUGCUACAUCUUCUCGUGAUGUCGGUUAAGGUUCACAGCAUCCCGAUCACGCUUAGAUCGACUUCCGAUCUCUAUUUUAGCAGAAGUAGUGAUGUUGAUGACUAGAGGAUGUCUCCUAAAUGAAGGGCUUGGAUAGAUCUCCCAAUUUCAAGAAAAAGGAAUCUUAUGGUUCCGUCGUUGAAGAAUUUGGAAGGCGGCAUUGUUGAAGGCUUGAAUUCUUCCUUUCAUCCAAGUGAGGU